CCUACGGGUGGCAGCAGUGAGGAAUAUUGGUCAAUGGGCGCGAGCCUGAACCAGCCAAGCAGCGUGAAGGAUGACUGCCCUACGGGUUGUAAACUCCUUUUAUAAAGGAAUAAAGUGAGGCACGUGUGCCUUUUUGUAUGUACUUUAUGAAUAAGGAUCGGCUAACUCCGUCCCAGCGGCCGCGGUAAUACGGAGGAUCCGAGCGUUAUCCGGAUUUAUUGGGUUUAAAGGGAGCUAAGAUGGGUUGUUAAGUCAGUUGUGAAAGUUUGCGGCUCAACCGUAAAAUUGCAAUUGAUACUGGCAGGCUUGAGUACAGAUGAGGUAGGCGGAAUUCGUGGUGUAGCGGUGAAAUGCUUAGAUAUCACGAAGAACACCGAUUGCGAAGGCAGCCUACUAAACUGCCACUGACAUUGAUGCUCGAAAGUGUGGGUAUCAAACAGGAUUAGAUACCCGAGUAGUC
rnacentral:rRNA from 1 species